UACAGAGGAGCCAAGCGUUGUCCGGAUUGACUGGGCGUAAAGCGCACGCAGGCGGUUGCGCGCGUGGGGUGUGAAAUCUGGCCGCUUAACGGCCAGGCGCCAUCCCAUACGGCGCGACUGGAGCGAUGCAGAGGUCGGUGGAAUUGCCGGUGUAGUGGUGAAAUGCGUAGAGAUCGGCAGGAACACCCCAGGGGGGAAAACCAGCCGACUGGGCAUCUGCUGACGCUGAUGUGCGAGAGCGUGGGGAGCGAACCGG
rnacentral:rRNA from 1 species